GGAAAAGGAGGAGGGGGCAAAAGUAAGGAAAAGAAAUAUAAUUGGCUCAAUAAAGUAUUACUGGAAACCUUAUGGGUCGUUUUAAUAUAAAUAAACAAUAGAGGUGCCAAGUCCAAAACUUCCAUUUUCAUUUUUAAACACGUAAAACCAACUGCCGUCUCCCCACUCCAAACCCUAGCCAAUACAACCGAAAAUCCCCACCCUUUAGCCGCCGCAACCGCCGCCGCCGCCGACCGAAAACCACCACCCAUGUAGAUGGAUCGCGUCUCGUGAAAGAGGAUCAUGGAAGAGGUAGCCGCAAUCAUUCCGUCGAAGCGUCGCCGCAACAAGAUCGCCGGAUUCUCCACACAUUUGAUGAAGCGCAUCCAGGAGCGCCUGUCCGUUGGAUCUCACUCAAGCUGCAGCAGGAGGAGCGCGAUCGGCGUAUGGAUUCCGUGCCCGACGAGAACGCCAUUAGAGUCGACCGCAUCGAGAUCAGGGACCGAUAAGUGUUGGCGCCGCCCAUGAACUUUGGCCGUGGAGGCGGCAGGAGAUACCGAGAAGGAUGAUGAGAUGGGUGGAAGAUCAAACAUUAUAGACGAGCUGUUUUGCCGUUUCAUUUUCCCAGAGAGACCUGCUGCUGCUGCUGCGGCAGGUCGUGAUUUUUCUGGUGGUAGUCAGUUGUGCUGGUGAUCCUUUCUAAACAACGGAUUGAAAACAUAUUGCCAUUUAGAGGAGUCAGAUUGUGAAAGAUGGGUGGAAAAUCUCAUACGUAAGAAACGAGCUGCUUUGCUGUUUCAUUUUUUGCGGAGACACCUGCUGCUGUGAGUUUUUGGGGCAUCCAAGCAAAAUAAUCAUGGUUAUGAAAAUAUGAAUUGGAAAACCAGUAAAAGAAAAUAAGAAAAAGAAAAAGUGCAUUAGAACUUAUUAGUUCAAGCUUAAAGAAGUUGCGAAAUAGGCCCAAUCUACAGUAGGCCCAUCAUUCAA